CACGUAGGUGGCAAGCGUUAUCCGGAAUUAUUGGGCGUAAAGAGCGCGCAGGUGGUUGAUUAAGUCUGAUGUGAAAGCCCACGGCUUAACCGUGGAGGGUCAUUGGAAACUGGUCGACUAGAGUGCAGAAGAGGGAAGUGGAAUUCCAUGUGUAGCGGUGAAAUGCGUAGAGAUAUGGAGGAACACCAGUGGCGAAGGCGGCUUCCUGGUCUGUAACUGACGCUGAGGCUCGAAAGCGCGGGGAUCAAACAGGAUUAGAUA
rnacentral:rRNA from 1 species